rnacentral:lncRNA from 1 species
AUAUUAUAAAUGGUGUUCGUCUUAUUGUAGCUUCUUUUUGUCCAUAUUAGUUAGGAGCGUUUAUAGCGAUAUACUUUUCAUGGAAUCCGGUAAAAAUUUUUAUUGGUGUAAUCGAUAACCGAAUCGAUAAGCCCCCAAAAUCGAUAAAUCGAAAUUGAAAAAUCGAAACCUUAUUGAAAUGAUAACGAUAAGCAUAUGUACAAAUUGAUAAUCGAUAAGUAAUUAUCGAUAAGAGUCAAAAUCGAAUCGAUAAAUCGAAUGCACACCCCUAUGCUGAGGUCUAUGUCAUUAAAGUGUUGAGAAAUGAUCCUAAAAACACAAGCAAGAGGGGGAAA